rnacentral:rRNA from 1 species
GAUGAACGCUGGCGGCGUGCCUAAUACAUGCAAGUCGAGCGAACAGACGAGGAGCUUGCUCCUCUGACGUUAGCGGCGGACGGGUGAGUAACACGUGGAUAACCUACCUAUAAGACUGGGAUAACUUCGGGAAACCGGAGCUAAUACCGGAUAAUAUAUUGAACCGCAUGGUUCAAUAGUGAAAGACGGUUUUGCUGUCACUUAUAGAUGGAUCCGCGCCGCAUUAGCUAGUUGGUAAGGUAACGGCUUACCAAGGCGACGAUGCGUAGCCGACCUGAGAGGGUGAUCGGCCACACUGGAACUGAGACACGGUCCAGACUCCUACGGGAGGCAGCAGUAGGGAAUCUUCCACAAUGGGCGAAAGCUUGACGGAGCAACGCCGCGUGAGUGAUGAAGGUCUUCGGAUCGUAAAACUCUGUUAUUAGGGAAGAACAAAUGUAUAAGUAACUAUGCACGUCUUGACGGUACCUAAUCAGAAAGCCACGGCUAACUACGUG